ensembl:snoRNA
AUGCAUGUUUUAUUGUCUUUUCUUUACAUGCCAUGAAAAAGGGUAUUUAUGAUGUGCUAAAUAAUUCUUUGACUGUAAGCUAGCAGCAUAACUAAUUAGCUAUCCCUAUCAGUAUCCUUCAGAGAAAU